AUGGACAACGACAUUCCCCCUUCCAGGGUGGAGAGGACUUUCUGGACAGUUUGGUACUAUAUAACCGGAGCUGUGAACAGACUCCUCAGACCAGAGCCCACUGACCUCGUUAGCAAUGACCCGACAUCCCUCCAGGAUUCUGCAGUUGACAGCGAGCCUGCAAACUGUGGCCAUGCAGAGGGUGAAGCUAGCGCAAGAGAAGUCAAUGAGGAACAGUCUCUUGCGACAGUCUCUGUGCUUAGCUCAUCUCGGCCCGUUGUUGCCUGGGAACUUUGCACCACAGACAUUGACUUAGGGUCUGAUGAUGAAAGCAUGCAGUACAAAACCCAGCUGAGCAGAGGCAGUGAGGGCAAAGCAUCUGAGGAAGGUGAGGGCACGAGAGAGGAACAGUUUGCCCAAACAGGCAAUGAUGAUGCAGGGCUGCCUGUCGCUAAUGCAAAGGAAGACGAACAAAAAGAAGGAGUUCGGAAAUUGUACGCACACGAACGAGAUGAGACACCGGAGAAUGAUGAGUCUGAAGAUCAUGUGAACACCAGGUCAAUACUUACAGGUGAUGCAAUGAGUGAAGACGUGGAGGAAAUUGGAACAAAUGCUGGUGCUGAGGAGGAGACUGAGAGGGCACUGACACCGAAUGAUCAAAAAAUGGAUGCAACCCUGACAAAGAUCCAAGUAACGGAAGAAGACAAUAAAAUGUACCAUGAAGAUGAACAAGAUUUGGAGGCAGAAGACAUUGAAGUACAAUUGUGCACGAUCACAGAUUUGAGUCUAGAAGAGGAGGAUAACAUGCACAUAGAAGAGGCAAUGGUGCAGAUGGAUCAGACAGAUAGAGCAGCGACAAACGAGGACGUAGAAAACAAUGAUGGUGAGUUACUGCUGGCCUCCAAAAAUGAAAACAAGUCUGAUGAGGGAGCAAAUUAUGUUGAAAAUCAGCUGUCAAUCUGUGAACUCUUGUCAGAUGACAACAGAGAUUACAAGGGAGACCCAAGCUUCACUACACAGCAUGUUGAAUUACAAAUGGCACACGACAAAAGUGGCAUUGUUUCUGAAGAUGAUUUAAUAGUUGUUGGACAAGAGCAUGUGAUGGUUCAUAGAAGUGAAAGUGAUGAAGUUGAGGAUAUGAAAGAGAAGGAGGAUGCAAGCACAUUGGAUGAGAGGGAGGAGGGUCCUGUCAUUGAGGAAGAAAAUGUGAAUGAUGCUGCAAACAGCCAGACAAAAGAUGAAAUGCAGGAGCAGGAAGAUGACAUCAAAUCAGUUACAGAAGAUAGUCAAGAAGAAGACAUUUCAACUGGAAAUGUUACAUGCAGCGAAGAAGUUGUACAAAAUGUUCAAACAGAGCUGCAUGCAGCUAUAUUCACAAAGCGAGAGGAUGUGGCUAAGGACACCGAAGUGCAAACCAAAAUAAGAGAAACAGAUGACGUUGAAACAGAAAGCCACGGCAAAGUGUUCGAUGUAAAGUUUGAUGUGACAACAACAGACAUUUCUGUAGCAGAGAUAUGUUUUGAUAAAGAUCAAGUAGAAGAGGAGAGCCUCUCCAGUGAAGUAGGAAACAAAGAAAGUUACUUGGAAGUGGUAUGCACAGCCACCUCAGUUACAGUAAAACCUGAAGGCGAGACUGGACAGGAAAUAAGUGGAGACUUUAAAAAUAUUCCCGUGGGGAUAUGUGAAGGCCGGCUUGUUGUGUCACAGGAGCUAAAUUCUCCAACAUGUGAGGAAACACAAGAGGGAGUUCCUGAAUACAACAAUGAGCCAGGGCCAAAUGAAAACACAACACAAAGGUUCCUGGAAGUAAGAGCUUCGGGGGAAAUCCAGUCUAUGCAAUUUCCAGAAGAGAUGGAGAGCAAAGAACCCGAGAACCUUCAAAACAGUGGCUGUAGCGCUGGAGCUGAGUAUUUACCAUUGAGGGAGCAUAUGGAAGAGGAACAAGAAAGCACAGGAGAUAUUAAGAAUAGCUUUGAUCCGGUUGUGGAGGAGCAUGCUGAAAGACUGCGCCUUACUGAUGCUGGAUUGCCUCAAGAAACGGAGACACCACUUGUUGAACCAGUAAUUCAAGAAUCUGGACUUUUAUUUGAGGAAGAGGAAGGAAAAGUAUUGCUUUACUCAAUGAAGACAGGGAUUGAACACUCAGAAAAGCAAUUGGAGACCCACAGUGGCUUAACAGAUGAGAGCGAUAAGACAACAGAAGAGCUGCAAGAUGGUACUGAGGAAUUGUUGGUUGAAUUUGAGAAAAAGGAGAAGCUAUGUGAAUCCAAAGAAGCUGAAGCUGCUGGAGAUGGCCAUGAGGUGACAGGAAUUAUAACAGCAGUGGAAGUGGUCGGAUUCACUGAUGAAACCUUAAAAUUCCUUGAGGCUGAAGAAGAGAAAAUGACAGCGAUCAGCUUCUUUCAGGAGUCUGUAGAUGCCAUAAACUCGGAGCAAAACAGCUACCAGACACAUAGUUUACUAGAAGACUUUAAUGAAACUGGACUCCUGAAGCAGUCGGCUGAGACUGAGCCUAAAUUAUGUGAAGAUAAUACUGUAGAAGUGCAAGAUGCAGGGAUACAUAUGGAAGAAACGGUUUAUGGAGUUGAGGAGGAAGCAGCAAUAGAUGAAAUGUUGAGCAAAAAUGAGAUGGAAUUUUUAAAUCAGCAGGCAGUGGGAAUGGCAGCCGAGCUAGUCAUAGAAAGGAAUGAAGAAGAGAAUGCAGAAUCUGAGUCGUCUAGAAUAGUUGAGACACUGGAAACAGAAAAUCAGCUAUCAGACGAAGCACUUGAGAUGAGCAGUGAGGAGUCUGAAGCAGCUGAUGAAUCAAUGACAACUGAGUCCAAGCCAAAAGAUUUGACUGAAAUAUCAGCAGAGGAAACGGAAAAGUGUGUGACAGAAUCAGACAGGAGUUACACUAAAGAAACAGUUAGCCCAGUCAGUGGAUGUCCAGAUGUGAUUGAUGAAGAAAUCCUUGACUUGUGGAUAGAGACGGCAUUGUCAGAGGACACUGAUGAUGUAAAACAAGAAGAAGACCCUGGACAACAAAUAGACAUGGAAAUGGAGCCAUCAAAUGAGAAACCAGAUGAAAUGUCAUCGGUGCAGAGAGAGAAGGUUAGAGAGCAACUUGUGGGGUCAAAUUCAGGAGAAUCUGAACUGGUGAGUGACACAGAAAUGUCUUCAUCAACAGCAGAGUCUGGAUUUUUGGACCAGUCUCUUAGUGAAUGGGGCACACAGAACAGUGAAACUCAGCUACUGAAAUCAACCAGCACCGGGUCAUUUCAUGGCAUAUAUGACAUGUCAGUUAAUAUGUCAGAAUCAGGAGACAUCUCUGAACUGUCUACACAACAACCUAACUCUGAAUCUCAGGAUAUAUUGAUGGAGGAAACAGCUGAGACAGUGCAAACAUAUCUGAAAGAGGAGGAAUCAAUCACAGAGACAGGAUUUCACCCUGAUUCUGGAGUUUCUUCAUCAGAGGCUACACAUCUAGAUCAGAAAUCGGAUGAAUCGCAAGAAAAAACAGAUGAAGAAACUGGAUCACAGAAAGAGAUUGAUGCUGAGGUACCAGACCCAGCAAGGAAAACUGAAUGGAAAGACACUGAAGAAUCAGAUGUUAAGUCACUGAAAGAAAUUACUGCUAUUAUCGAAGUCGAAGAAACUAAACUUGAAGAUGAGCCUCUUGUGUUAACUGUCUCUGAACCUCCAGAGGGAAUUGAACACACUGAACCAGGACGAUCUAGAAGUGGCUCAGAGACAUUAGAUAUAUCGACAGAAACUGGAUCACAAGGCGACACCUUCACUGAGUUAGAGAAGACGUUGUUCAAGUUGCCCUCACUGGACAAACCACAGCCCACAUGGUCAGAAGAUAAUACCGAUCCAUUACCUGGGCUGAAUGAGGCUGUAGAACAGCCAACAACAGAGUCUGAAGACCAGAUGGAGGUAGAUGCCUCUGGGCUGGACUUCUCUGCGCAAAGGUCAAGAAUUGCUGUUAAAAACCCUCUUGUAAGGCCACCAAAAGAUCCCCGCUCUCUGCUACUUAUGCCCUCUGUGGAGCCCACACCCUCUUCACGUCUCCCAGUCAAAGUCCCUGCAGGUCUGCCUUUGGGAGGCUUGGGCAUUGGAAUAAAACUGCCUGGGCUUGGUGCAGGUUUUCCGGUCUUAAAAAAGACACAACGAAUAGUGAGAGAUGAAAAUAGCCCUGACACCGUCUCACAGGAACCUGAUGCAAAGCCAGCGGAGAAGAGUGACACUCCCAAACAAGAUGAGAUCCAACAUAAACCUAAAUGGAUGCCACCAAAACAUCCAGGGUUUGGAAAUCCACUUAUGUCUGAGCUGAAGACCAAACUGAAGAAAACCACAAAAGAGUGACAAGAAGAUGAAUUUCUUUGUGUGAAUAGCUGAAUAUAAUAUAAAAAUUGCUUUAUUUUUUAUGUACCUAUCAAAGUGGAUACAAUGUUGAAAUGUCAAUUACUUGCCUUAUGUUUAACUUUUGUAAUAAAGCUUAACUGAAAAAGGAACGGUAUUUUCUUAUACAAAAACUCUUCAUACCGAGCAUCUCUGUGUUAUUAGCACACUCAAUCAUCAUGGCCUCAAAUCUCAAUCAGUAUGGAUGAGAGCUGGUGAUUGUGAAGGCUACAUCAUACAAGUCACAUCAUUUUCAUACUUGUCAAACCAUUCAGUAAGCCUUUGUUAUGCUUUUCCUACUUUAUUAAACAGGUUUUUCAUUUGAUUUGUCUAUUUUAAAAUGAGCUUUGCUACUCAACAUGAAC
ensembl:lncRNA